rnacentral:tRNA from 1 species
GCCUGGGUGGCUCGGUUGGUUAAGUGUCCGACUUUGGCUCGGUCGUGAUCUCCUGGUCUGUGAGUUCAAGCCCCGCCUCAGGCC